rnacentral:rRNA from 1 species
CCUACGGGUGGCAGCAGUGAGGAAUAUUGGUCAAUGGACGAGAGUCUGAACCAGCCAAGUAGCGUGAAGGAUGACUGCCCUAUGGGUUGUAAACUUCUUUUAUAUGGGAAUAAAAUGUUCCACGUGUGGGAUUUUGUAUGUACCAUAUGAAUAAGGAUCGGCUAACUCCGUGCCAGCAGCCGCGGUAAUACGGAGGAUCCGAGCGUUAUCCGGAUUUAUUGGGUUUAAAGGGAGCGUAGGUGGAUUGUUAAGUCAGUUGUGAAAGUUUGCGGCUCAACCGUAAAAUUGCAGUUGAAACUGGCAGUCUUGAGUACAGUAGAGGUGGGCGGAAUUCGUGGUGUAGCGGUGAAAUGCUUAGAUAUCACGAAGAACUCCGAUUGCGAAGGCAGUUCACUGGACUGCAAUUGACACUGAGGCUCGAAAGUGUGGGUAUCAAACAGGAUUAGAUACCCGAGUAGUC